rnacentral:rRNA from 1 species
GACGAACGCUGGCGGCGUGCCUAAUACAUGCAAGUCGAGCGAAUGACGAGAAGCUUGCUUCUCUGAUUUAGCGGCGGACGGGUGAGUAACACGUGGGCAACCUGCCCUACAGAUCGGGAUAACUCAGGGAAGCCUGGGCUAAUACCGGAUAAUCCUUCGAAUCACAUGUUUUGAAGUUGAAAGGCGCUUCGGCGUCACUGUAGGAUGGGCCCGCGGUGCAUUAGCUAGUUGGUGGGGUAACGGCCUACCAAGGCAACGAUGCAUAACCGACCUGAGAGGGUGAUCGGCGACAUUGGGACUGCGACACGGCCCAAAGUCCUACGGGAGGCAGCAGUAGGGAAUCUUCCACAAUGGACGAAAGUCGGAUGGAGCAACGCCGCGUGAGUGAUGAAGGUUUUCGGGUCGUAAAACUCUGUUGUAAGGGAAGAACAAGUACGUUAGGAAAUGAACGUACCUUGACGGUACCUUAUUAGAGAGCCACGGCUAACUACGUGCCAGCCGCCGCCGUAA